GUCACUGUGAGGUUCUUCUUCACAGCAGUGGUUUUGUUUUUCCCAGCAGAUGGCAGAGCUGGGCAGGACUGUGAGGGUGAGUGGUCUGCCUACAGACAUUGAGGAUGACAGGUUGAGAGACAAACUAUAUAUCCACUUCCUGAGAACUAAGAAUGGAGGAGGGGAAAUUGACUCUGUCGCCAUUGAUGAGGCAACACCAGACUCUGCCCUCAUCACCUUUGAGGACAGUGAAGUGGCACAGAGAGUUAUUCAACAUAGCUGGCACAUUCUGGAAGUGGAUGGGAAGAAGUAUGAACUCAUUGUAACUGAGCAUCACGAGAGCCUGGACCCAGACAAGGUCAUCGUAAGUUUGUCAGCAACUGUAGACUACAGCCAACUUUCAGGAGGAAUAAUAGCAUUGACAGGCCUACAUAGGAACCACCCUGAUAUCCAGAUAAACUACAAUGAGACGUUGUGCACUCUGCAGGGCGCAUAUUGCAAAGUCCAGGCUGCCUUGGCAGAACUGCUAGCACAGUCUGGAGGUUCACAAUCAGCAGAACAUAAAGACUCAGCUCAACCUGCUACCAGUGCCCCCAAGUCUACUCAUACAGUGCAAAAGCAUCAUACUUCGGAGUCAGAAUAUUACAGCAGGAAACCAACUAAGCAAAGAGAACAAAGAGAGAAAGCUAACAUUGGCAGGCCUUGUGAUAAGCGCAGCUCAAGCUCACAUAGAGACUUGGCACCUGAUGGAUAUGACUGGGAUGAUACAGAGCAGCCUCAAUGUGGAGCUCUGCAGCUUCCUGGGCAUCCGACCAUGUCAGCAUCAGAGGACCACUCACUAAUUUUGGAUGCAGACAUGUUCCAGUAUUUGCAGAAAUGCUGUAGGAAGGAAUACCAGCAUAUCCUUAGUCAACAUGGUGUUGAGGUGGUGGAUGUGACAAAUCAGGGCUUGACUACUCUGUAUCUGCAGGUCACAUCAGCAGUGGGGGAGGAUGGUCAAGAGAAAGAGCGUUUGAAGUUGGGAAACAGGGCAAUAAGUAAGUUUUACCAGGAGAAUGAGACCAAGAUCCGUCGAGCUCAGCUACCUAAGAAUAUCUUGUCUCCCAAGGGAAGCCUGCAAAGGGCGAUUGAGAAAUUUAGUGUCAGACUUCCCAAGCUUCUUCUGAAUGAAGAUGAGAGUAAUGUCUAUAUUAUUGGGAGCAGUAGUGAUGUGUCUGAGGCCAAGCAUUUUUUUCUCAUGGACCACGGCCAUGAAGAGAGAGGUAAAAAAGAAGAUGUAGCCAGUCUUCUUAAAUAUCCCUCUUUUGAUUCGGGUUCAUCAACUCCUGCUGUUGAGGAGAGAGUUUUUUCGUCCUCUGCAGGAUCGUUGGAUGUUAGGAUAGAUCAAAUGCUGCAAUCAGAGGAGACUGAGAGGAGAGAUGAAGGAGCCAGAAGGUAUAAACUAGCUGCACGGUUUAAGGAUUCAGGGCUGUCUGUAUUAGGGAGUCGACCAGGGGACUUCACUGUACGGGGGCUCUCAACACCCAGUAGACAAACACGCCUUGGCCCAAUGUUAGGGCAUGAUGUACUGUCAGAAACCACAGGGAUUGAUGGUGAAAGAGUCUCUAGAGCAGUAGCUCAAAACAGUGGAGGUGACAUCUUGUUUAAGAGUGGAGAUGCUUUGCAUUCAUCUGCUUCUAUGCAGAGUAAAACCUCCUUGAACUCAAAUUUAAUGGAUACUCGACCCAAGAGUGCAACAGCCCUUGGCACAACUCAGACCAGUCUGUCAGGAAGUACUACACUCCCGCCUGUUGGGUAUGGGUCCACGUUAAAGCGAUCCAGCAGUUUUUCGGGAAUGCCUGAGCAUAAAGCUGAAGGUAAGGGUCAGAAGCAUCAAGAUGACAUGGGCAAGUCCAGUGUUAGAGUCAGGGGCAGGUCUUCUAGCUUCAGUAACCAAAAAGGGAGGGACAAGCAAGGCGUCUAUAAAGCAGAGAUUACAGUUUUCGCUCUCCUGUGGCAUUACAUAAAGGAGGCCUACAGCAUGCGAGUGGAAGACCUGACUUCUGAUGUCCAGAUAAAAGAGAGUGGCCCACAAAGUAGCAGGGAUUUGACUAUCAUCAUAAGAGGGGCAGAUUCGGCCAAAGUAAGCUCAUGUCAGAUAGGUUUACAGAAGCUGAUUGACACGGUCCAUGCAGAUUUCUCUGUGCAGGAGAUAUGCUUGUCUGACCUAGGUGUGGCUGACCCAGCAGAUGAAACUUUACAGGUUUGUUGUACUGAGGUGCGUAACCGGUUCAAGAAGGUUACUAUCCAGAUUUUAAGGAAUAGCAUAUUUCUUUUGGGCCCAAAGCGAUUGUGUUCUCAGGUAUGUGCUUCACUGCGGGAGGUAUUUUCUGGAGAUUUGGGCCAAAUACCUGAACUACAAGAUUUGUCUAGCUUCUCUACAUCCAUCUUGAAUCCGUCCACACAUUUACAAAUGAAUGAGGACCAGAGUACUAGUCUGCAGGGUCAUAGUAAUGCUCAGGUUACACUAGAGAACCAAACAGGCAAUGAUUUUGAAAAUAGUAGAAGUCAGGAAAGGAGAACAACCUUUAGGGGUGACUUUUAUGAGACCGAGCUUCUUAAUGGAUCUUUUAGCCAACCAUUAGUGGGGAAAGAUCCUGUCAUUAAGGAGAAAGUUAAAAUGGCAGGCGCUGUGGAGCUGGAUGGACAAAAGAUUGAGACAUUUGCCAACCUCUCAACAAAAGGAAAUGAUGCAAGCGCAACACGUGUAAAUGGUGUUGGGUCAACAUCAACCCAUAUUGAUAAAGAAAUGGGCCUUCACACGAAAGAGACGACCAAACAAGCAGAGAUCCAGGACACCCCAGAGGAGUCCAGGUUAGGUCAAGGGGACCUGGGGCCCAUCUGUGUGUGUGGGGAAAGGGGGGUGUCAAUGACAAGAACCGAUUGUGGUGCUACCAUGUGCUUUAAGUGCCUGGACACUGUGCAUAUCCAUUGCAGAGUUUGUGACGGGCAAGAGCUGACACCCCGAGGCAUCCAGGGCGAAAUGAGCUACUCUAAACUAAAUAUCAUUGUACCAGGUCACAACAAGGCUUUUGCUAUCAAGAUCACUUACUGCAUUCCUGAUGGUAUCCAAGGGGAGGGCGACCCUUCUCCUGGAAAACCAUUUUAUGGAGGUGUAUAUGAAGCCUACCUUCCUGACUUUGAGAAGACCAGGAAGCUUUUGCCCAGGCUGAAGAAAGCCUUCAGGCAGGGACUCACCUUCACAGUGGUCGGCAAAGAGACAGAGGCCAGGGUUACCUGGGAUUGCAUCCCACAUAAGACCAGCCUACAAGGAGGCAAAUCAGGGAAUGGUUACCCAGAUUCCUCUUACUUGAAUCGCUUGUCUGAGGUCUUGGCCUCACAUGGGAUUAAGGAGUCACCAGCCAAGUCUCAAGAAUAAGAAACAGUCACAGAGUUUAUAUGUAGUUUGUACUUUUUAUCUUUUUGUGGCAAUGCCAUUUGCACUGUAUUUGUUGAAUCAUCCCAGGUUAUGCUGUUUUGUAGAGCAAAAAGCAUUCUUAUACAAAUUCUAGUCUUUUUAGCUCUUAUUGCAGCUAUUUUGGAUUUUUUUUGGUUAAAGAACCUGCCUCACUGUUGUUUAAUUUUCCAAAAAAAUGUGUGACAAUUUGACCAAUCACAAACAUCUUCAUUAUUUCAUGUAAUUCCUGACAAUUUAUAAAUUCAGCUUUAUUUUGUAUGAGUGCAUUUUAUACUGUAUAGUGUGGAUAGUUUUGUAUAUAUGUGUACAUUUUGUACCCUCCCAAAUGGUUUUAAUGAUUAUCUACUACAGAAUAAUUAAUUUUAAAAAAUCUGUCUUUGCUUUUCUUCUUUUUUUAUUUUCAGAAUGGGCACAGAAAUAAAAAAGCACCUCGACUUUUUGUUAUGCUUUUUUUAUUAGUCCUGGAAAACAUGUAAGGCAUAUGGUAACAUUACACACUGAAGCGUUACAAGCUCUAGAGGCCAUGUGGACAACAUGGCACCACGCAGUAAACCCAGAGUCAAGCACAGAAGCAGCAUCAAUUCAAAGGGUUUAAAAAACAAAGUAGAGACGAGUAGAGUGCUGUUGCAACUAGGGGAGAAAAAAACAACAACACAAGGAAGGACAGAGUAGAGGAGCUCUAGCUUAGAAAUCAACCUGUUGGGUAUGCCUUGUAGAAAAUUACCAGUGGUGACUGACUUCUAACAGGUAGUGUGUAGCAGAAUGGAUGUGAAGUGAGUUUUUGAAGCAUUCCCAGAGAUAGAUUAAGGUGUGUCAUGAAUGUACCAGGCCAUGCUGAAGGUGACGACAGGGAGUCAGGUGGCACAGGAGGCAGUGGAUUGGCUUCAGUUGGCAUCUUGAUACGACUGGAAGGGCUUUCUCCUACCUCACACCACGCCACUACAUGACUACUAAACUAACAUGAAAGAGACGGUGAGCUGUACAUACACACAUGCCUUUUUUUUCUGGUUGACUAAACAUGCAUCCUAGUACUGUACAUGACAAGUCAGGUUGUACUUUCUUAGCAUCUCUGCAAUGUUGUGAUUGUGCUGCAUUGCAAUACCUUAAACAAGACUGCUAAGAAACAAAUAGCUGCAAGCAGAUGUGAGUGAAGAUGAGUGAAGACAGCAGCUCUGAACUUGGAUAUAACCCAUACACAGAGCCCUCUCCUUUUGACUCAGAAUACUAUUGGUGUGAAGGAAAAUUGGUGUGACAGUUUGUGCAGUGAACUCAGUGGAACAAAAUGUUUUUGUGAACGCAAAAUAUGUGAAUUAUUACAUGAUGAAAACUGCUGUUUGGAAUGACCUGAGAAACCAUAUAAAAGUGAAAGAAAUUCACCUCAAAGCUGAACGGUGGGUGCCUGUGAGGGACUUCAGCGAUACAAGCCAAGACAAACAGAAGAAUAGCUAUUGGAAAUAUUACACUCAUUGUCCUAGUGCAUUUUUUAGACUUAAAACUACGAGUGUUUAUUAGUAAUAUCAAAUCUAGAACUGCAAAUGUUCAGAAAUGUUCAUUUUUACUUAAAAACACUGUUUUACUACUGUGCAUCUCUGAGUUGCUAAGUACUCUUGCAUACGUGUCUGCAAUGACUGGGAAACCAUUUCAAGAUGACAUACAUUGCAGCUUCACCACGAUGGAAAAGCGCUCAGGCAGCAGGCCAAAGUAGGAAGGGGUGGACUCGGGUUCAACCAACAGAUCCAUUUGAACCCCAUACCCAGACAUGAAACACCCACCUCACUGAUUGAGUUCAUUUCAAAGGCAUCUCAGCUCAAAAGAGCCAAGGGGAAAAUGUUAAAAGAAAAAAAGAAAAAGAUUAUAAUCUGUUUUCCACAUGCCAAUGAAUGCAUGCAAUUUCAAAUUCCAGAUGUCAAAGAAGUGUUUUAUUUGCUAUGAAUGUGUAUGCAGUGAGAAGGGGGUGAUAUGGAGAGGAGUUUUGGCCCGCUCCUGCUGAACUGCGACUGUUGCAUCCGCAGAGCCUCUUGGCUGCAGCACAGGAAAAGAAGAACAACUCUAAUAAUCCUUGAGUGAACUGAGAUCAGCUGUAAAGCGGAAAUGUUGUGUCUGGGGCAGGCCAUGGCUGAGCUAUGAUCAGCCAAUAAGCUGGGGUUUUGUGCAGCUGUGUUACAGAAUUGGCAUCCCUGCACAGCUGUGUGAAAACAUCUGCUCCCUCACUUGCUAUACAAGCCACUUGGAAACAAACUGAAAUAAACAGAAAUCCAUAGAGAGGAAUACCAUGGAGCUUUGGAUUGGAGGAAUUUUGCAGAUUUCUGUGUAUCUAUAUGUUUUUAAUGGGAUUUUGAACCUUAAAUGCACCUUGUCCAGUUCCUUUUCACUGUGAUACUGAUGUUAGGGUUGUAAACACGUCGGAGGAGUCAACCUGUAGUGGUCAACGUAAUAUGAGAGCUGGUAAAACACAGUGAAAAGGAUACGGAUACGGAGGGAGGCGCCUCGGAUUGAGGUAAACUGUGUGCAAGGAGAGAGGCACAGUGCAGACCUACGUUUGAGCAAGACUGCAACCAAUCGAAAACUACAAAUUGUGUUAAACCUUUUGUAAACUGCAGCAAAAAUUCUGUCAGCACCCAUGAGCAUUUGGGAUACAAAUCUGACACACUGUGACUUUUCUUCAAGGUUGACGGAAAUGCAUCCAAAAACAGAAUUUUCUUCAUAUUUUUUAUGCACUGUUAAUAUUCAAAGCAUUGACAGAGGAAUAUACAUACAAUUUGGCACACAUGGUUCGGACCAACAGAAAGACUUCAUCACAUUUAAAAAGGAGUGCAGGUUGGCAGGUCCCCACAUAAAGAGUAUGAGCUUUGAACUUUAAACCCUUGGAUAACAAAAACAAACAAACAAACGAAAAUAUAAAGGUAAAUUAAAAUAACAUAUUAAGUAAAACAUCUUUUUUUUUUUUUUCUCUUACUGAAGCGUUUGUUUCUCACAUGGCACUCAGAACAGAAGCACCGUCCACAGGUUCACAAAGGGAGCCCAGCAGAUUAGAACAGAACACUAACCAGAGGCUGACAGGACACAGUCACUCCCCACACCAGCGUGACGGUCGCACUCCAGCCCAGUCGACACCGCCCCUGCUCCACGUUUUACUUCCCACAGUCAAGGAUGGAUGAAUGCUUUGAUUUUAGCUGCCACCCAGGAGAAGUUGGCCCGGGCAGGGACUGGCAAGCUGAAAAUGAGGGGACCUUUACAUGAGUGUGUGUGUGUAUGGUUUUUUUUCUAUAUGUGUGUUUGUGUGUGUGUGUGUGUGCCACCUGUGCUUUCACUGAGAUUCAGCAGAUACACUGGGAGUGGAUGAUGGGAAACAGGCUGCAAACCUGGAGCAGAAUCAAAGCCUGUGGGACUGGAGUGUGACUGCCAUGCUUGUAAGUGCAUUAAGAUCAGCGAGCAGAGUGCAAAAAUACUAAUACCAACUGUCCUCAUAACACAGGCCUCUUAUCAGACAGGAGGGAGAGAUAGAAUAGGAAGGGAGGUCUGGGUUGAAGCUACAUUAAUACUGAGGAGGAGGAGGAGGAGGAGGAGGAGGGUGGGGUGUGGCAGGGUAAGGGUGGGUUCUUUUAAAACCUGACAAACGACCUGAGGACACACACAUCUUCACACACAAUGGCACACCACACACAGCACAUGAGGGAGGCCACUCAUGCUAACACAACAACUUUUUUUCAAAUUAUUAUUUUUUUUUAAACAUUUUGUUUGUUUUUUUACAAAGUCACUAGUCACCAUCUGAGUCUCAACACUGAGGCCGGACAGACAGGCAGGCAGGCAAGCAGGCAGGCAGAUAAAUGUCUAAAUGUCAAAGUUAAAAUCCACCUACGUGAAAGAUUGAUUUAGAGUCGAAUUAUACUUAAUCGACUUUUGACUCGAUGCUAGUCAGACAAAAUUCAUACUGGCCAUUAGGGAAGCGGUGCGCUGUUUUAGCCAGACUGCUGCUAAUUGCACACAUUGUCAAUACUAGAUUAAAAUUUCAAGACUGGUUUGGUUCAGCAACAACCUUGAAACUGGCUCCAGCUCUUUGUUUUACCCCUCUGAUGAAAUUCUUAAUACAUUUAACACCUGUUGAAAUACUGGUGGACAGCACCGACUGUUUGCAAAUAUAGAGUUAGGGAGGCAGAAAGGAGAGACAGGGAGAGGGAGUCAGAGAAGCAGACCACAGUGCCAUCUCUGACGAGCCUGACGCCUGUUGCUAUGCCGACCAUAGAGAGGGAAAUGGAAAGAGGAGGGUGAGAGAGAGAGCGAGAGAGAGAGUGAGUGAGUGUGGAGUAGAGUUGAGAGAAAGAGGGGAGGCAAAGUAUGGAUGCCAGCUUGAAUUGAAUCCUCCUCUCCCAAGUCAGGGUGAUCGACGGGCGAGCGGCCGCCGUGAAAGGAGCACAAUGCCAUGGAAUGCCUCGAGGAGGAUCAGGGAGGAUGAAAGCCUGAUCCAAAGGAAAAGGGACUGGUAUUCACCUUCUUAACUUGCUCAUUUCAGACGCUUCACUGUCUCAGCAUGACAGUGCCUCUUUCAUCACAGUCAGUGUGUGUGUGUGUGUGUGUGUGUAUGUUUGUGUGCGUGUAUGUGUUUGUGUGUGUACUUGUGGCUUGUUUGAGCAGAAACAAAUUCUCUCUUAAUUGGCAGCGCUCACUUCUUGCCAACAGUUGGUCAGCUAGAAAAAUCUGUAACUAAGGAGAAUGAAGCUGAGCAAUGAUUUCUGCCUCCCUAUUCAACACUGCACAGAGAGACUCAUUAUGAGGGAUAAAUUCAUAUUCAGGCAAGGGCAACAACUGCAGCCAGUACAGUAUAUUCACUUCACUGAAUGCAUGCAUCAUGGAGCUGUUUCCCUUGCCACUGGUGAAUGCUGAUAUGUGUGUCCAAGCUAAGGCCUUAUAAGUAAUAACCGAAUACCAAUGUGGAGUUUGGCAGGGCGUUAUAGUAAUAACACCAUUGUCUGAGCAGUCGAACAUCAUGAUCAGAGCCACAAAGCCAAUAUCUCCAGGGGAGGUUAGGUGCAUCAGCCAAUCACAGGCAUCUCUGACUCAUCCUCAGUGACAUAACAAAGCAUUGGACACUAAGAGAGAGCAAUGUGUGGGUGGGUGUGGUUCUUCCUUUUUAUCUGCCUGUCUCUGUGCCUGUCUGUGGGUCCGUCCAGUGAGUGGGGUGGUGGUGUGGGAGGUGAGGGGGUGUUGGUGGCAAAAGAGGGGGGAAGGGGUGGAAGUGGUUUUGGUGGUGGUGAUGGUAAUGGUAAUGGUUUGGGGGAGGG